rnacentral:lncRNA from 1 species
UUCGUGCCAUGGAUCACAUCAAAAAGGAACAAAUUCUGCUGCAUUCUGAUUCAAAUUUGUUGCUUUUGCAGUACUCAAAAUUAUUUUCAGCAGUUGAAUACCCCUUUCCAAACAAGUUCAUUAUUUUUUUCUUCUGCAAGUUUUCAGAUGGGUAAAGGAAAAGGGGUCUAUACACAGAAUAAAAUCUUUUACAUAAACAAUAGAAGUCGAGAUAUUGG